rnacentral:miRNA from 1 species
GAGGAAAAAAUCCCCUACUCUCUCUCUCUCUCUCUCUCUCUCUCUCUCUCUCUCUAAGCGCCCUUUUCUAUUGCAUAAUAUUUGCAAUUCAGGCCUCUGAAUUGGUAUGAAGGUAGUAACUAAGGAGGGAGAGAGAGAGGGAGGGAGGGAGGGAGGGAGGGAGAGAGAGAGGAAUGAA